rnacentral:rRNA from 1 species
UACGUAGGGUGCGAGCGUUGUCCGGAAUUAUUGGGCGUAAAGAGCUCGUAGGCGGUCUGUCGCGUCGGUCGUGAAAACUUGGGGCUUAACCCUGAGCUUGCGGUCGAUACGGGCAUGACUGGAGUUCGGCAGGGGAGACUGGAAUUCCUGGUGUAGCGGUGGAAUGCGCAGAUAUCAGGAGGAACACCGGUGGCGAAGGCGGGUCUCUGGGCAGUAACUGACGCUGAGGUGCGACAGCGUGGGGAGCAAACAGG